rnacentral:rRNA from 1 species
ACCAUUUAAAGAGUGCGUAAUAGCUCACUAGUCGAGUGACGCUGCGCCGAAAAUGUACCGGGGCUAAGCAUAGUACCGAAACUGUGGAUGCAUAUAUUAUAUGCGUGGUAGGAGAGCGUUCUAAGUGCGGCGAAGUUAGAUCGAGAGGACUAAUGGAGCGCUUAGAAGUGAGAAUGCCGGUAUGAGUAGCGAAAGAUAGGUGAGAAUCCUAUCCGCCGAAAGACUAAGGUUUCCUGGGGCAGGCUCGUCCGCCCAGGGUAAGUCGGGACCUAAGGUAAGGCCGAGAGGCGUAGCCGAUGGACAACAGGUAGAAAUUCCUGUACUGAAAUUGUUCGAUAUGAGCAAAGGAGGGACGCAGGAGGCUAAUGACGCAUGUUGCUGGAAAUACAUGUGCAAGCAGUAAGAAAAAAGAUGAGUCAAAUGCUUGUCUUUAGAUUUCAAGCUGUGAUGCGGAGCGAAAUAAAAGUAGCGAAGGUCAUGAUGUCACACUGCCAAGAAAAGCUUCUAGCCAGAACAAUUUUACCCGUACCGCAAACCGACACAGGUAGUCGAGUGGAGAACACUCAGGUGAGCGAGAGAACUCUCGUUAAGGAACUCGGCAAAAUGACCCCGUAACUUCGGGAGAAGGGGUGCUGAUAGUAAAAUAUCAGCCGCAGUGAAUAGGCCCAAACAACUGUUUAUCAAAAACACAGGUAUCUGCAAAAUCGUAAGAUGACGUAUAGGUGCUGACACCUGCCCGGUGCUGGAAGGUUAAGAGGAGAGCUUAGCGCAAGCGAAGGUUUGAAUUGAAGCCCCAGUAAACGGCGGCCGUAACUAUAACGGUCCUAAGGUAGCGAAAUUCCUUGUCGGGUAAGUUCCGACCUGCACGAAAGGUGUAAUGAUUUGGGCACUGUCUCAACGAGAGACUCGGUGAAAUUAUAAUACCCGUGAAGAUGCGGGUUACCCGCGACAGGACGGAAAGACCCCAUGGAGCUUUACUGUAGCUUGAUAUUGAGUAUUUGUUAAACAUGUACAGGAUAGGUAGGAGCCAGAGAAAGUAGGACGCUAGUCUUACCGGAGGCAAUGUUGGGAUACUACCCUUGUUUGAUGGAUCCUCUAACUCACAGAGCUGAGCGUUCUGGAGGACAGUGUCAGGUGGGCAGUUUGACUGGGGCGGUCGCCUCCUAAAGUGUAACGGAGGCGCCCAAAGGUUCCCUCAGAAUGGUUGGAAAUCAUUCGCAGAGUGUAAAGGCAUAAGGGAGCUUGACUGCGAGACCUACAAGUCGAGCAGGGACGAAAGUCGGGCUUAGUGAUCCGGUGGUUCCGCAUGGAAGGGCCAUCGCUCAACGGAUAAAAGCUACCCUGGGGAUAACAGGCUUAUCUCCCCCAAGAGUUCACAUCGACGGGGAGGUUUGGCACCUCGAUGUCGGCUCAUCGCAUCCUGGGGCUGAAUUCGGUCCCAAGGGUUUGGCUGUUCGCCAAUUAAAGCGGCACGCGAGCUGGGUUCAGAACGUCGUGAGACAGUUCGGUCCCUAUCCGUCGUGGGCGUAGGAAAUUUGAGAGGAGCUGUCCUUAGUACGAGAGGACCGGGAUGGACAUACCGCUGGUGUACCAGUUGUCUUGCCAAAGGCAUCGCUGGGUAGCUAUGUAUGGAAGGGAUAAGCGCUGAAAGCAUCUAAGUGCGAAGCCCCCCUCAAGAUGAGAUUUC